UGAUCUAGAAGUAAAGGCUGAAAAAUAAAUUACGAUAAAAACAUCACAAUCAAUUUCACAUUUAAGGUUAAAAAUUCAAACUUUUGAAAAUAAGCAUAAGCGUGGGAUAUCUGUAUUGGGGUAUCCAUAGACUAAUUUUUCUUGAGAUUGAUCCAACAUCCAUAGACUCGAUAUCGAAGAACAUCACAGAAUCAUAAGAUUCUAACAUACCAUAACAAAAUCGUUAUCCGUAGAUCAACAAUAAAAUCCAAGCAAACAAAGGGGAUGAUGAUGAAUGUGGCUCGCCAUGGGUGAAAUCCGUUUGCCUAUCCACCACUGUAGAGCAGUCUCCCAUGAGUGGAUGCCAGAUCUAACCGUAAUGAGCUCAUGGUAUGGGUGGAUGCCGAGGAAGGAAGUUGGGGCCCUCUAGAUGACGAGGAGGGCAUCGAUGGUAUACUGAUAGAG
rnacentral:lncRNA from 1 species